UACGGAGGGUGCAAGCGUUAAUCGGAAUUACUGGGCGUAAAGCGCGCGUAGGCGGCUUUGCAAGUCGGGUGUGAAAUCCCCAGGCUCAACCUGGGAACUGCAUUCGAGACUGCAUUGCUAGAGUAUGGGAGAGGGAAGUGGAAUUUCAGGUGUAGCGGUGAAAUGCGUAGAUAUCUGAAGGAACAUCAGUGGCGAAAGCGACUUCCUGGACCAAUACUGACGCUCAUGUGCGAAAAGCGUGGGGAGCAAACAGG
rnacentral:rRNA from 1 species